AUUGAACGCUGGCGGCAGGCCUAACACAUGCAAGUCGAGCGGAUGAGAGGAGCUUGCUCCUCGAUUCAGCGGCGGACGGGUGAGUAAUGCCUAGGAAUCUGCCUAGUAGUGGGGGACAACGUUUCGAAAGGAACGCUAAUACCGCAUACGUCCUACGGGAGAAAGUGGGGGAUCUUCGGACCUCACGCUAUUAGAUGAGCCUAGGUCGGAUUAGCUAGUUGGUAGGGUAACGGCCUACCAAGGCGACGAUCCGUAACUGGUCUGAGAGGAUGAUCAGUCACACUGGAACUGAGACACGGUCCAGACUCCUACGGGAGGCAGCAGUGGGGAAUAUUGGACAAUGGGCGAAAGCCUGAUCCAGCCAUGCCGCGUGUGUGAAGAAGGUCCUCGGGUCGUAAAGCACUUUAAGUUGGGAGGAAGGGCUUACAGCGAAUACCUGUGAGUUUUGACGUUACCGACAGAAUAAGCACCGGCUAACUUCGUGCCAGCAGCCGCAGUAA
rnacentral:rRNA from 1 species